CGGCUCAGGGAAGAUGGCGGCAGCCGUGGUGCUGGCUGCUGGGUUGCGCGCGGCGCGCAGAGCCGUGGCGGCCACGGGGGUGCGCGGGGGGCAGGUCCGAGGAGCUGCAGGUGUGACUGAUGGGAAUGAAGUGGCCAAGGCCCAGCAGGCAACUCCUGGGGGAGCAGCCCCAACCAUCUUCUCCCGGAUCCUGGACAAGAGCCUCCCAGCUGACAUUCUCUAUGAGGACCAGCAGGCUCCUGUGCACUUCCUGGUCAUUCCUAAGAAGCCCAUUCCUCGGAUUAGCCAGGCUGAAGAAGAAGACCAGCAGCUUCUAGGACACCUACUCCUUGUGGCCAAGCAGACAGCAAAGGCUGAGGGCCUGGGAGAUGGAUACCGACUUGUGAUCAAUGAUGGGAAGCUGGGUGCACAAUCUGUGUAUCAUCUGCACAUUCAUGUACUUGGGGGCCGGCAGCUCCAGUGGCCUCCAGGUUGAACCUGCCAACUGACUAAAGGACACCAGACUCUGGAUACUUGGAUGGAAAGGGAAAAAUGGACCCUGUGAUGCUAAUAAAACUGUUCUCCCUUAA
rnacentral:sRNA from 1 species